AAGCACUGUGCUCUAGAGUGUCUCCUUAGUACUUCUCUUGACUUUGGGGGCUUAUACCAGUGCUAGAAUAACGUCCCUUCUUGCAGAAAGACCAGGUCCUAUUGUGAUCUGACCCUUCCGAUAGCUGGGUACAGGC